rnacentral:lncRNA from 1 species
GUAAUUGCGAAAUUAAAUAAAGAGCAGGCUGAAAAUAAUCCACGGAAUAUUGUUGGUAAUUGAAUACAUUAUAUAAUAUUUCAUUGAAAUUAAGAAUCAUUCACAAUAAGAAAAGUACCUCCACUUUGUUACACAUUUUCUAUUUUUUUUUUUCUCUCCAUAUAUAUACAGAAUUGUACAUAAUCAAAGGCACCCCCGUAUGUCACGGAUUCUUUAUAACCUGCUAAAAAUGUUUAUCUUUAUUUAAGUCUAGGACAUAUUCAUUUAUAUCCAAUAACAUCAACCUUCAGUUAUUUAGUAAAGCUAUAUUUUGAUUUUAUAUAAACAUUACGAUAAAAAAAAAGUUCUUUUAAAACAAAUACAAAGUAAAUGCCUUACUUGUUUUUACCAUACUUUAAGGAGGAGACAUGCCAUACGAAAUGUUGAUAUCAAAAUAACUACGCUAGUGACGGAGUAAGAAAACCAGUGUAUAGCCUGAAGAAAUUGAUAAACUGAAACGAAUCCAUAGGUGUCUGGAUAUUCUUUAACACUCAAAAUAUAGAAUAUCCAUGACGACGAUUUCAUGCCGUUCAGACCAGUAGAAUUGGCAUAAUCUUUAUUAAAAAUAAUGCAUUUAAUGUCAUAUAAAUGUAUUCCCUUAUAUGCACAUCAUAUAAGAAUUAUAAAGCGAUGUCCAUUGUGCAUUUUUCAUACAGUAACAAUGUGUCUCACCUAAAACAAAAGCCCGAGAUACUGCAAAAUUAAUUACGGUAUUUAAUACGAGCAAAAACUUUAGUACACGAUUGCAAACAAUGGAACACAAUUGGGUGAUGUCAUGAGCUGCAAAACGGUAAGCAGAUCCACAAAAGGUUUUUAAAAACCAGAAAGAACAUGACCCUCACUUACCAAGAUAUCAGAUUUACCAUUUCGACUGAACGGGGCUGCGUAAUUAAACAUCACACGCAGCCUUUUGAAAGGGUGCAUCUCCAUGAACACGUUGGUGUAAGGGUAAAUCUAUAGAAAGUGUGUUUAUACCCUACACGAUCUGACAUAGAUGCAUAUGUAUACAUCCCAAGGCGCCACCUGAAGCGUAUUGAGGUGAUACCUCACCCCUCAGACGGAGACAUGUGUACCGCUUUCUCAAUUCUAGUUAAGAAGCUCCGUCCUUGGAAAACGUGCUCUAUGUCAGAUGUUUUCGUUACAAGAAAACACGUAGUAUGGUAUUCAUCAUUAAAAUCAUUUACUUUCCCCUUUAUCAAUCAUAGUUUUAGAAUAUUCGAAGAAACUAAAAGUUGGGACACCACAAACCUCAGAGAAAGCCUUUUGAAAUGUUAUCUAGAAGUAUCAGUUGUUUUAUUUCAAAAGUGAUGUACAACAAAACAGAAUACUCUCUUUAGCAUGCAUUUUAAUCAUUAUUCAGUACCGUAUUCAAGUUCCGAGUUAUACCCUUUAUAACGUCAGAUGAAAGCAGAGCCUUCAUCUGUGUUUCAUGGUGGUAUUCUCCAUUUAUUUACAUCUAAUUAGAUUUUUAGAGAAAACAGCAUAUAUUUAGAUAUCUAAUCAAAAAAGGAACAUUAAUGGCAUGUUUACAUGUACAGUGGUUGUCGUUUUUUUUUUUUUUGGUUCAUAAGUGUUUCCUGUUUGUCAAUUUUUGUAUAAAGAUUAGACUGCUGGUUGUCCUGUCAGAAUGGUUUAAAUUAGUCAUUGUUUAGGUCCGUUAAAACUUCGUUCUUUGACCAAAAAUGGUGUUGAACUUGAAUGGAGAGUUGUCUCAUUGGCACUCAUAUCCCAUCUUUUUAUAUCAUUAUCUUUACAAUCUGGCGAAAUUGCACAUUCCAGCAGCAAGUCUGAGUAUACCUUCGUAAAGAAAGAGACCCCCAAAGGGUAUCUAGGGAAUAUAUUGUAGUCACAUGAGAUGUCUUCCGAUUGGCAGUAAAACCCUUGACCAAGCAGAGCGUUCGUUUAAAUGUGUGGGAUGUACAAGUACACAGCCACGUCCGGUCAGAAUGGGGACAUUAAAUCUAAGACUCGUGUUAAUAGUGCAAUGCUCUCUGCUCUGCGAAGGGUUCGUACAUGACAUUUUACAAGGUAUCUCUGUCCCUAUCCAAUUAACCCUCGUUUGACAGUGGCAGUCUAUAUUUCACUGGCCUUAAUCCUGCACGGCCUCCCUUACAUAACCUACCUACCAAUGUAGUAUGUAUUGUUAAUUUGUUCUCGUUCUGAACAUUCAGGAAAUUUGUCACUGGACGUUAAGCAACCAACAAUCACUCUUAAAGAAAUAGACCACCCUUUUCUGUCCGCGGUUAGGGGUUAGGACAAAGGUAUCAUAUAGACAGAUUUUUUUUUAUCUUGCACAUGAUUUAAAAUGGGUAGGCCAAACAACUUCACACAUAUAUAAUUCCACUGCAUUGGUAUGUCCAGUACAAGACUACAUGUAUGCUCUACACAUAUAUGUUUUUCUAUUUCUGUAAUUUAUAAACUUUUUCAAUUUUCCUUUUACUAUAUGAUGUCGUUGAAUCAUGCUAAGCUUGAUGUGUCAAUAGUGAAAAUAACACUCAAUUAAAUCGUUAACAUCUGAGAGAAAAUGUGAGGUCGUGAAAAAUUCAAUAUUACAUAUAUAGUGUGCAAAGCAUAAGAAAUUUUACAACAUUCAAUUCCUUUUAGCGAUAAACUGCAUUGUAGAUUAAGCAAUCGAUUGUUGUUAUAAUCAAUUCGAUACUACAUUAUUUAUUUCAGAAAAUGAACCAAUUAAAGAAGAAAUAUUCACUCAGGAUCAAGCAUCUGUCAAAAACAACCUUCCUGUUUCUGUCAUUUUCAGUCAACAGUUAAAUAUUAAAAAGUCUGAAAAUGAAAAUCAGAACAUUACUGGCUGUAUCAAAACAGGCAAUACAUUAGUGUUUACUGACUGUGAUAAUAAACGACUUAUUAUUUGUAAUUCAGACGGUUCUGAUAUCCAUCACAUUCCUCUGUCCUAUGCAUCAUGUUAUAUAACAGAGAUAGAUAGUAAUACUGUAGCAGUAUCCUGUAGUAUGACAGUACCAUACUGAUAAUAAAUAUAUCUACACGUUCUGUCACCAGUACAAUCAACACCCGAGAGUGACUGUGGCGCGGAAUAUCAUAUAAUGAUAAUAACCUGUAUGUUGUUAUUAGUAUGAGUAUAAUACAUGUGAUGGACCUGACAGGUAAAGUAAUACGUACUAUACCGGC